GAUGAACGCUGGCGGCGUGCCUAAUACAUGCAAGUCGAGCGAACGGACGAGAAGCUUGCUUCUCUGAUGUUAGCGGCGGACGGGUGAGUAACACGUGGAUAACCUACCUAUAAGACUGGGAUAACUUCGGGAAACCGGAGCUAAUACCGGAUAAUAUUUUGAACCGCAUGGUUCAAAAGUGAAAGACGGUCUUGCUGUCACUUAUAGAUGGAUCCGCGCUGCAUUAGCUAGUUGGUAAGGUAACGGCUUACCAAGGCAACGAUGCAUAGCCGACCUGAGAGGGUGAUCGGCCACACUGGAACUGAGACACGGUCCAGACUCCUACGGGAGGCAGCAGUAGGGAAUCUUCCGCAAUGGGCGAAAGCCUGACGGAGCAACGCCGCGUGAGUGAUGAAGGCCUUCGGAUCGUAAAACUCUGUUAUUAGGGAAGAACAUAUGUGUAAGUAACUGUGAACAUCUUGACGGUACCUAAUCAGAAAGCCACGGCUAACUACGUG
rnacentral:rRNA from 1 species